GUCUGCUUGGUCAGGCUUUGAUGUAUUUUAGUAACAUAUGUUCAUGUGCAGAUGUCGUGUGAAUGCAUACUUGGACUUUAUUACGUUUCACUGCAUUAAAAGAAAGCACCUAGCCAAUCUCAA
rnacentral:lncRNA from 1 species